AUGGGGAUCGUGGAGACGUGGGUGCGCGAGAAGCCCAUCCGCACCUUCCUCUCCCGCCUCUCCCGCCAGUCGGCCGCCGCCUUCGCCGCUUCCACCACCUCCCGCUCCCCCGCGGCGGCAGAUAGCGAGGGCGGCGCCGCCGACGGAGGCAUCCCGCAGCUCUCGUCCGUUGCCAACUCGGUCGUCUCCCGCUGCUCACGGAUUCUUGCUGUUGCAACUGAGAACUUGCAGCAAAGUUAUGAGGCUGAUUUCCCAGAUAAUUGUAAGGAACCCAAUACAUAUGCCAGAGAACUAUUAGAGUACUGCUGCCACAAAGCUCUUCAUGAAGUAACUACACGUCCAGACUAUUUGUCUGAUAUGAAUCUUCGUCGUUUAAUGUUUGAUAUGAUGCUUGCUUGGGAAAACCCAGGUGCUGAGGAAGGAUUGCUAAAAAAUAAUUCUACCUCGUGUAAUCCCGUGGAGAUUGAAGAUGAAGACGAGGGAUCAAUUUUCUAUGCGAAUUCCACAAGUUUGGCUGUUCAAGUCAACGACAUGAAGACAGUUGGAUUAAGUGCUUUUACACGAAUAGCGCCUUCAUGCCCAAUAAUAGCUGACUUGGUUACUGUCCACAAUCUGUUUGAUGCACUUACGUGUUCAUCUGGUGGCCGCUUACAUUAUUUUGUAUACGACAAGUAUCUCAAAAGUUUAGACCGGGUAUUCAGAUCUAUCAAAGGAGUUAUGCAGUCAUCCCUUGCUUCAAGUUUUAAUCUUGAUGCUGGGGAAUGUAUCGUAGCUAUUGAUGGUGACAAGCCUAUUCAUCCUGUAUUGCAGCAUAUUGGGAUAUCAGCUUGGCCAGGAACAUUGAUCCUUACAACACAUGCUCUUUAUUUUCAGAGUAUCAGAGUUGGUUAUGGUGAUAAGAUUGUUAAAUAUGAUUUAGCAACAGAUUCAAAUCAAGUGAUCAAGCGAGAUUUUACUGGACCAUUGGGUGUUCGUCUGUUUGAUAAAGCUGUGAUGUACAAAUCAAGCACUUUAACAGAACCAAUUUAUUUCGACUUUCCUGAGUUAGGGAGCCCCUCACGAAGAAACUAUUGGUUAGCAAUCACUCGUGAAGUAAUGCAGGUGAAUAGAUUUAUCAGAAAAUUCAACCUUGAAGAUAUUCAGAGAGCAGAAGCACUCUCAAAGGCUGUCCUGGGCAUCUUGAGAUACUCUGCUGUGAAAGAAGCUUUUCAUAUUGCUCCCUCUCACUUUAAGACAACACUCACUUUUAGCUUAGCUGAAAAGCUCCCAAAAGGAGAUAUGGUAUUAGAGGCCCUAUACAACAACUACUUCCAACUGUUGGACACUUCAUUGAGCCAUUUGGCAACUGAGCCAGCAGUUGACAAAGCACCGCAGACUCAUUCUGUACCAUUUUCAUUAUAUGCUCUCUCUAGAAUGGGAUUUAACUUGCUGAAGAGAAAAAAUGAAACUGGAAAGGAGAUAAGCUUUUGUGCUGUUUGUGUUGGUGUAACAAAAUCUCUGGAGGCUGCUUUGCAAGAGUCAUUUCUUUAUUCUGAAAGAAUAGAGGCAGCACGUGCUACAGUUGAUCAAGUGAAGGUGGAAGGUCUUGAUGCAAAUGUAGCCCUCAUGCAGGAGAUACUUUUUUCGUUCAUUCAUGCAGGCAAACUUAUUUACUCUUUAACCAAGUGGGAAGAUCCUCUGAAAUCAUUUUUGUUCUUAGCUUUUAUCCUCUAUGUUAUCCAAAGCGGGCUUGUCAGUUACACUGUACCCUCUGUUUUCAUAGUCUUUGCUGUCGUUAUGCUUUGGCAUAAGUACAGUGAAGAAGGGAAACUGUUGGAAGUGCUUGAAGUAAGACCCCCUCCAGCUAAAAAUCCUGUCGAGCAAAUCUUGAUCCUGCAGGAAGCUAUAUCCAAGUUGGAAGACACCCUACAGGCUGUAAAUAUUGUUCUUCUCAAGUUCAGAGCUCUCUUGUUUGCAGCUGUUCCAAAGGCAACUGAAAUAGUCGCAGUGGCACUUCUUGUUGCAGCUGCGGUUGUCGUGUUGAUGCCUCCUAAGCAUCUGCUCCUGAUGGCAGUCCUGGAGGUUUACACGAGGGAGAUGCCAUUAAGGAAGCAACACACAGAGAAGUUCCGAAGACGAAUUAAAGAGUGGUGGGCCCGUAUUCCAGCCGCUCCUGUACAGAUGAUCAGACCUAAGGAAGACAAGAAAAAGAUAUGA
rnacentral:rRNA from 1 species